AAAAGCGACAUCUCCACAGAACUUCCUACCUAGAAUAUUUCUAAAGUAUGAUGUGUUUUACAGCAUUAGUGAAGGAGAUUAUCACAUCUAGACAUUUGUCCUAAAGCAUGAAUGAAAUUAAACCUAGGGCCAAAGAUUCUUUACCAAUCAUUCAUCUUACAUUAUUUGGGCCUCUUUUUUAUUUACUAUAUAAGAUACCAUGCAGUGUUUUCCUAGACUAUAUAGAGCAUUGUAUCACCUCCCUGCUAAGUCUGUUGAAAAUAGGUUUUGACCAAUUUAGAGAACCAUGCAAAAUAUAUUACCUUUGUAAGAUUUUUUAAUACACAAAAUUAAGAAAUUAAUAUUACCUUAAAUGUGAAGUUUAUCCUCAUCAUUUUAAAUCCAUAUAACUGUACUUUGCAUAUUUAUAAAAUAUAGUGGGAAAAGAUGUGGGAAGGUUUAUGUGUGAUUUACUAUUCAUGUUUUUACAUUGCCUGAUUUUUAUGUGAAAAAAAAUAUUAGCAACUUGUUCCUCAACACAAUUUAUUCUAAACAUUUCAAAAAAAGAAUUACAAAGUUGCACUUCCAUUUCAUGCUGAACUAUAAUUUUUUAAUGUAACAUGGUUAAGUUUUUUUUAUAUAUAUGUUUUCCCAGGAAUGUCUAAUUGUAACUUUUUAUCAAUUAAUAACAAUAUUUUGGAACCAAGUGCUCAUUUAAUAUAUUACAAGCUUGAAGGGAAGUUAGACUUCUCUUUUCAUACAGAUUACUGUUUGGUACUAAUAAUAAGAUACCAUUCUCAGCACUGUCAUGCUAAUAUUUAAGUCGCACUAUCAUUGAACACAUUUAAUCUAAUGAUAUAAAAUGAUAGUUACACUGUACAAUUUAAAUUGGAAUAAAGUGGCAGGGAACAGAUUUGAACACAAAUCCAUUCAUCCAAUGGAGAUAAACAUGGGAGAAUCUCAUUUUAUCUUUUUGACUGUUACGUAGUUUGCAAAAGAUGUAAGUAACUUGUUGGCUGUUUCUAAAUGCUAACUGAUGAAAACUUCAACUCUAAAUAUUUGUUCAGCAUGAUUUUAUAGAAUUUUGAUAGCUUUAUUCAAAAGUUAAGAGGAAAUGCAUAUGUAAAUAAAGCAGUUCUAAAUAGCAAUUUCAGAGAAAUGUUAAUGGGAAUGAUGAAAGUGGGCCAGCUAAAUUAGAAUGGCCAAGUAACUGGCUUGGGUUUAGGACCUAUGUAUAGAGGCCACCAAUUUCUUUUAAUAACUGUGGUUUGUUAUGUUAUAUUCUUGAGGAAAAUAAUUGAGUUGCUUCAUAAAAAUAAAGGAAUAGCCAUGAAUAUAAUAAUGCUGUUUACAUAGAAUUCUUUAUAAAUUUCAUACAUAUAUGAAUGCUCAAAAUGUUUGAGUUUGUCAUAAAUUAUAUUGUAGUUAUACUUGAGACCUGCACAUUGUAAUAGAAUCUAAAAAUAAAAGUC
rnacentral:lncRNA from 1 species